rnacentral:rRNA from 1 species
GGGUUGUGAGGUUAAGCGACUAAGCGUACACGGUGGAUGCCCUGGCAGUCAGAGGCGAUGAAGGGCGUGCUAAUCUGCGAUAAGCGCCGGUAAGGUGAUAUGAACCGUUAUAACCGGCGAUACCCGAAUGGGGAAACCCAGUGUGACUCGUCACACUAUCAUUAACUGAAUCCAUAGGUUAAUGAGGCGAACCGGGGGAACUGAAACAUCUAAGUACCCCGAGGAAAAGAAAUCAACCGAGAUUCCCCCAGUAGCGGCGAGCGAACGGGGAGGAGCCCAGAGCCUGAAUCAGCAUGUGUGUUAGUGGAAGCGUCUGGAAAGGCGCGCGAUACAGGGUGACAGCCCCGUACACAAAAGCGCAUGUGCUGUGAGCUCGAUGAGUAGGGCGGGACACGUGGUAUCCUGUCUGAAUAUGGGGGGACCAUCCUCCAAGGCUAAAUACUCCUGACUGACCGAUAGUGAACCAGUACCGUGAGGGAAAGGCGAAAAGAACCCCGGCGAGGGGAGUGAAAAAGAACCUGAAACCGUGUACGUACAAGCAGUGGGAGCACAGGUUUACCUGUGUGACUGCGUACCUUUU